GGGUUUAUGGCUUAGUGGUAGAGCGCAUACCUCGCAUGUAUGAGGCCCUGGUUCAAUCCU
rnacentral:tRNA from 1 species